GGGAGGACAAACUGCCGGCCUGCCGCGCUUCUGGGUGCAACGGGCUUGUCGUCAUCCUCCGGGUGAGGGUUUUCUACGGUAAGAGGCUUCUCUCGAUAAGCCGCCGGGUGGUCGGGGGCGCGGGCUGACUGCCAGGGGCUCCUCUCCUCUGCGGCCCGCCUUUUCAGUCAGUGGGAUGAGCCUCUGAAAGACUCUUCUUUCAUCAGUAAUGCUCUGCAUUGUACAGAAAUCAAGAAGGAGUUGAACCUUAGCAGCAUGCCCAACAGUUCCAAGAACGCUGGAGCACGAUUGCUACAUUUGG